GAUGAAGAACGUAGCGAAAUGCGAUACUUGGUGUGAAUUGCAGAAUCCCGUGAACCAUCGAGUUUUUGAACGCAAGUUGCGCCCGAAGCCAUUAGGCCGAGGGCACGCCUGCCUGGGCGUCACACGUCGUUGCCCCCCCCAUCUACUCCUUCGGGAUUGCGGGGGGCGGAUGAUGGCCUCCCGUGCGCCUCGCCGCGCGGUUGGCAUAAAUGCCAAGUCCUCGGCGACGCACGCCACGACAAUCGGUGGUUGCGAAACCUCGGUUGCCCGUCGUGUGCGGUCGUCGCGCAUCGAGGGCUCGAAAAAAUUGCCGAGUUCCGGCUCGGCUUUCAACGCGACCCCAGGUCAGGCGGGGUUACCCGCUGAAUUUAAGCAUAUCAAUAAGCGGAGGA
rnacentral:misc_RNA from 1 species